rnacentral:rRNA from 1 species
GACGAACGCUGGCGGCGUGCCUAAUACAUGCAAGUAGAACGCACAGUUUAUACCGUAGCUUGCUACACCAUAGACUGUGAGUUGCGAACGGGUGAGUAACGCGUAGGUAACCUGCCUGGUAGCGGGGGAUAACUAUUGGAAACGAUAGCUAAUACCGCAUAAUAUUAAAUAUUGCAUGAUAAUUAAUUGAAAGGUGCAAUUGCACCACUACCAGAUGGACCUGCGUUGUAUUAGCUAGUAGGUGAGGUAACGGCUCACCUAGGCGACGAUACAUAGCCGACCUGAGAGGGUGAUCGGCCACACUGGGACUGAGACACGGCCCAGACUCCUACGGGAGGCAGCAGUAGGGAAUCUUCGGCAAUGGACGAAAGUCUGACCGAGCAACGCCGCGUGAGUGAAGAAGGUUUUCGGAUCGUAAAGCUCUGUUGUAAGAGAAGAACGGGUGUGAGAGUGGAAAGUUCACACUGUGACGGUAUCUUACCAGAAAGGGACGGCUAACUACGUG